rnacentral:rRNA from 1 species
GAUGAACGCUGGCGGUGUGGAUAAGGCAUGCAAGUCGAGCGGGUUUAGACCCGCGGCAAACGGGCUAGUAACACGUAGGAAUCUACCUUGAAGUCGUGGAUACGCUGGAGAAAUCCAGUACAAUACACGAUGUGCUCUCCGGAGUAAAGAUUUAUCGCUUCAAGAGGAGCCUGCGUCCUAUCAGCUUGUUGGUGAGGUAAAGGCUCACCAAGGCAAUGACGGGUAGGGGGUGUGAGAGCAUGGCCCCCAGCAUUGGAACUGAGACACUGUCCAAACACCUACGGGUGGCUGCAGUCGAGAAUAUUCCACAAUGGGCGAAAGCCUGAUGGAGCGACACCGCGUGCACGAUGAAGGCCUUAGGGUCGUAAAGUGCUUUUAACUGGGAUCAAUGUACUGAGCGUACCAGUUGAAUAAGAGGUUACUAACUCUG